rnacentral:rRNA from 1 species
AAUGGGCGCAAGCCUGAUCCAGCCAUGCCGCGUGCGGGAAGAAGGCCUUCGGGUUGUAAACCGCUUUUGUCAGGGAAGAAAUCCUUUGGGUUAAUACCUCGGGGGGAUGACGGUACCUGAAGAAUAAGCACCGGCUAACUACGUGCCAGCAGCCGCGGUAAUACGUAGGGUGCAAGCGUUAAUCGGAAUUACUGGGCGUAAAGCGUGCGCAGGCGGUUUGGUAAGACAGGCGUGAAAUCCCCGGGCUUAACCUGGGAACUGCGCUUGUGACUGCCAGGCUAGAGUACGGCAGAGGGGGGUGGAAUUCCACGUGUAGCAGUGAAAUGCGUAGAGAUGUGGAGGAACACCAAUGGCGAAGGCAGCCCCCUGGACCUGUACUGACGCUCAUGCACGAAAGCGUGGGGAGCAAA